GACGAACGCUGGCGGCGUGCUUAACACAUGCAAGUCGAACGGAAAGGCCCUGCUUUUGUGGGGUGCUCGAGUGGCGAACGGGGGAGUAACACGUGAGUAACCUGCCCUUGACUUUGGGAUAACUUCAGGAAACUGGGGCUAAUACCGGAUAGGAGCUCCUGCUGCAUGGUGGGGGUUGGAAAGUUUCGGCGGUUGGGGAUGGACUCGCGGCUUAUCAGCUUGUUGGUGGGGUAGUGGCAUACCAAGGCUUUGACGGGUAGCCGGCCUGAGAGGGUGACCUGACACGUUGCGUCUGAACUACGGCACGGACUACACUGGUACGCGACGGUGCAGUAGAUUACCCUGCGGAAGGAACGCUGAUGCAACAACGCCACGUGCGGUAAAAGGGGCUUCGGGUUGUAAACCGCUUUCGUCUCUGACGAGGCGUGAGUGACGGUAAUCGGUAAAGAAGCCCCGGCUAACUACGUG
rnacentral:rRNA from 1 species